rnacentral:rRNA from 1 species
CAGUCGCCGCGGUAAUACGAAGGGGGCUAGCGUUGUUCGGAAUUACUGGGCGUAAAGCGCACGUAGGCGGAUAUUUAAGUCAGGGGUGAAAUCCCAGAGCUCAACUCUGGAACUGCCUUUGAUACUGGGUAUCUUGAGUAUGGAAGAGGUGAGUGGAAUUCCGAGUGUAGAGGUGAAAUUCGUAGAUGUUCGGAGGAACACCAGUGGCGAAGGCGGCUCACUGGUCCAUUACUGACGCUGAGGUGCGAAAGCGUGGGGAGCAAACAGGAUUAGAUACCCCCGUAGUCCCUGUCUCUUAUAC